GAGGGUAAAGCUCAAUGGUAGAAUGUGUGCCUAGAUUGCACAAGGUCCUGGGUUCAAUCCCCUGUACCUCUA
rnacentral:tRNA from 1 species